UACGUAGGUGGCAAGCGUUGUCCGGAUUUACUGGGCGUAAAGAGCGCGCAGGCGGUCGUGCAAGUCGCGUGUGAAAGCCCCCGGCUCAACUGGGGAGGGUCACGCGAUACUGCUCGACUCGAAGGCAGGAGAGGGAAGUGGAAUUCCCGGUGUAGUGGUGAAAUGCGUAGAUAUCGGGAGGAACACCAGUGGCGAAGGCGACUACCUGGCCUGUUCUUGACGCUGAGGCGCGAAAGCUAGGGGAGCAAACGGG
rnacentral:rRNA from 1 species